CAGCCGCGUAAUUCCAGCUCCAAUAGCGUAUAUUAGUGUUGUUGCGGUUAAAAAGCUCGUAGUUGAAUUUCGGGAUUGGGAUAUAUCGGUCAUGCCUUUAGGGGCAUGAAUCGGUGUGUAGCCAAUUUCUCACCUUCUGGUGAAUUGGGAUGCUCUUGGGUGUUUCAAUGAACUAGGACUUUUACUUUGAAAAAAAUAUAGUGUUUAAAGCGGGCAUUUUUGCUUGAAUACAUUAGCAUGGAAUAAUAAAAUAGGACGAUGGUUCUAUUUUGUUGGUUUUAGGACCACGUAAUGAUUAAUAGGGAUAGUUGGGGGCAUUAGUAUUCAAUAGUCAGAGGUGAAAUUCUUGGAUUUAUUGAGGACUAACUACUGCGAAAGCAUUUGCCAAGGAUGUUUUCAUUAAUCAAGAACGAAAGUUAGGGGAUCGAAGACGAUUUAUGUACGUCGUAGUCUUAACCAUAAACUAUGCCGACUAGGAAUCAGACAAAGUUCAUUUUUUAACGACUUGUUUGGUACCUUACG
rnacentral:misc_RNA from 1 species